rnacentral:lncRNA from 1 species
UCCUAAAUGCGGUGUGGUCGUAGAAUUCUGCUGAUUUUGUUGCCCGAUGCGGGACUUAGAAGAAAGAGCCAAAAGAAUAUAUAUAUAAUACUGCUCGAUACGGGUCUCAGCUUGGAGCUGGGUCUUCGUGUUGUUUGCACGUCUUACUCCUACCGAAGUUCUACCACAACUCAUCGAUUUUUCCAAGUCUUCGCUAUUAUAUUUUUGAUUUUUCUCGCCCCCAGUUACAUUCCUUCGGUCUCGGCUUACUACCACCUGCAUGUUACCCGAUUCUAACUAUAACAUCGUAAUUUUCCAACACGUCGAAAGUUUGUUUGGUCUAAUUGGAAACGGAGAAGAACAGAGGACCUCAAACUCAUAAAGAUGACAACUAACAAAUUAAGCC